ACCGCUUCUAAAAACCACACGCAUGGGAGGUGACUACAGGUCAUCAUAGGUCACUACAGGUAAGUAGAGGUCACUACAGGUAAGUAGAGGUCACUACAGGUAAGUAGAGGACACUACAGGUAAGUAGAGGACACUACAGGUCAUUAGAGGUCACUACAGGUAAGUAGAGGACACUACAGGUCAUUAGAGGUCACUACAGGUAAGUAGAGGACACUACAGGUAAGUAGAGGACACUACAGGUCAUUAGAGGACACUACAGGUCAUUAGAGGUCACUACAGGUAAGUAGAGGACACUACAGGUAAGUAGAGGACACUACAGGUCAUUAGAGGUCACUACAGGUAAGUAGAGGACACUACAGGUCAUUAGAGGUCACUACAGGUCAUUAGAGGACACUACAGGUCAUUAGAGGUCACUACAGGUAAGUAGAGGUCACUACAGGUAAGUAGAGGACACUCCAGGUCAUUAGAGGUCACUACAGGUAAGUAGAGGACACUAGAGGUCAUUAGAGGUCACUACAGGUCAUUAGAGGUCACUACAGGUAAGUAGAGGUCACUACAGGUAAGUAGAGGACACUACAGGUCAUUAGAGGUCACUACAGGUAAGUAGAGGACACUAGAGGUCAUUAGAGGUCACUACAGGUCAUUAGAGGUCACUACAGGUAAGUAGAGGACACUACAGGUAAGUAGAGGACACUACAGGUCAUUAGAGGUCACUACAGGUAAGUAGAGGACACUACAGGUAAGUAGAGGACACUACAGGUAAGUAGAGGUCACUACAGGUAAGUAGAGGACACUACAGGUCAUUAGAGGUCACUACAGGUAAGUAGAGGACACUACAGGUUAUUAGAGGUCACUACAGGUAAGUAGAGGACACUACAGGUCAGUAGAGGACACUACAGGUCAUUAGAGGUCACUACAGGUAAGUAGAGGACACUACAGGUCAUUAGAGGUCACUACAGGUCAUUAGAGGUCACUACAGGUAAGUAGAGGACACUACAGGUAAGUAGAGGACACUACAGGUCAUUAGAGGUCACUACAGGUAAGUAGAGGUCACUACAGGUAAGUAGAGGACACUAGAGGUCAUUAGAGGUCACUACAGGUCAUUAGAGGUCACUACAGGUAAGUAGAGGACACUACAGGUAAGUAGAGGACACUACAGGUCAUUAGAGGACACUACAGGUCAUUAGAGGACACUACAGGUCAUUAGAGGUCACUACAGGUCAUUAGAGGUCACUACAGGUAAGUAGAGGACACUACAGGUAAGUAGAGGACACUACAGGUCAUUAGAGGACACUACAGGUCAUUAGAGGUCACUACAGGUAAGUAGAGGACACUACAGGUAAGUAGAGGACACUACAGGUCAUUAGAGGUCACUACAGGUAAGUAGAGGACACUACAGGUCAUUAGAGGUCACUACAGGUAAGUAGAGGUCACUACAGGUCAUUAGAGGUCACUACAGGUCAUUAGAGGUCACUACAGGUCAUUAGAGGUCACUACAGGUCAUUAGAGGACACUACAGGUCAUUAGAGGUCACUACAGGUCAUUAGAGGUCACUACAGGUAAGUAGAGGACACUACAGGUCAGUAGAGGACACUACAGGUCAUUAGAGGUCACUACAGGUCAUUAGAGGUCACUACAGGUAAGUAGAGGACACUACAGGUAAGUAGAGGACACUACAGGUCAUUAGAGGUCACUACAGGUCAUUAGAGGUCACUACAGGUAAGUAGAGGUCACUACAGGUAAGUAGAGGACACUACAGGUCAUUAGAGGUCACUACAGGUAAGUAGAGGUCACUACAGGUCAUUAGAGGUCACUACAGGUCAUUAGAGGUCACUACAGGUAAGUAGAGGACACUACAGGUCAUUAGAGGUCACUACAGGUCAUUAGAGGACACUACAGGUCAUUAGAGGACACUACAGGUAAGUAGCGGUCACUACAGGUAAGUAGAGGUCACUACAGGUAAGUAGAGGACACUACAGGUAAGUAGAGGACACUACAGGUAAGUAGAGGUCACUACAGGUAAGUAGAGGUCACUACAGGUAAGUAGAGGACACUACAGGUAAGUAGAGGUCACUACAGGUAAGUAGAGGACACUACAGGUAAGUAGAGGUCACUACAGGUCAUUAGAGGUCACUACAGGUAAGUAGAGGACACUACAGGUCAUUAGAGGUCACUACAGGUAAGUAGAGGACACUACAGGUCAUUAGAGGUCACUACAGGUAAGUAGAGGACACUACAGGUCAUUAGAGGUCACUACAGGUCAUUAGAGGUCACUACAGGUAAGUAGAGGUCACUACAGGUCAUUAGAGGUCACUACAGGUAAGUAGAGGACACUACAGGUAAGUAGAGGACACUACAGGUCAUUAGAGGUCACUACAGGUCAUUAGAGGACACUACAGGUCAUUAGAGGUCACUACAGGUCAUUAGAGGACACUACAGGUAAGUAGAGGACACUACAGGUCAUUAGAGGUCACUACAGGUCAUUAGAGGACACUACAGGUCAUUAGAGGACACUACAGGUAAGUAGCGGUCACUACAGGUAAGUAGAGGUCACUACAGGUAAGUAGAGGACACUACAGGUAAGUAGAGGUCACUACAGGUCAUUAGAGGUCACUACAGGUAAGUAGAGGUCACUACAGGUAAGUAGAGGACACUACAGGUAAGUAGCGGUCACUACAGGUAAGUAGAGGACACUACAGGUCAUUAGAGGUCACUACAGGUAAGUAGAGGACACUAGAGAUCAUUAGAGGUCACUACAGGUCAUUAGAGGUCACUACAGGUCAUUAGAGGUCACUACAGGUCAUUAGAGGUCACUACAGGUCAUUAGAGGACACUACAGGUCAUUAGAGGUCACUACAGGUCAUUAGAGGUCACUACAGGUAAGUAGAGGACACUACAGGUCAGUAGAGGACACUACAGGUCAUUAGAGGUCACUACAGGUCAUUAGAGGUCACUACAGGUAAGUAGAGGACACUACAGGUAAGUAGAGGACACUACAGGUCAUUAGAGGUCACUACAGGUCAUUAGAGGUCACUACAGGUAAGUAGAGGUCACUACAGGUAAGUAGAGGACACUACAGGUAAGUAGAGGACACUACAGGUCAUUAGAGGUCACUACAGGUAAGUAGAGGUCACUACAGGUCAUUAGAGGUCACUACAGGUCAUUAGAGGUCACUACAGGUAAGUAGAGGACACUACAGGUCAUUAGAGGUCACUACAGGUCAUUAGAGGACACUACAGGUCAUUAGAGGACACUACAGGUAAGUAGCGGUCACUACAGGUAAGUAGAGGUCACUACAGGUAAGUAGAGGACACUACAGGUAAGUAGAGGACACUACAGGUAAGUAGAGGUCACUACAGGUAAGUAGAGGUCACUACAGGUAAGUAGAGGACACUACAGGUAAGUAGAGGUCACUACAGGUAAGUAGAGGACACUACAGGUAAGUAGAGGUCACUACAGGUCAUUAGAGGUCACUACAGGUAAGUAGAGGACACUACAGGUCAUUAGAGGUCACUACAGGUAAGUAGAGGACACUACAGGUCAUUAGAGGUCACUACAGGUAAGUAGAGGACACUACAGGUCAUUAGAGGUCACUACAGGUCAUUAGAGGUCACUACAGGUAAGUAGAGGUCACUACAGGUCAUUAGAGGUCACUACAGGUAAGUAGAGGACACUACAGGUAAGUAGAGGACACUACAGGUCAUUAGAGGUCACUACAGGUCAUUAGAGGACACUACAGGUCAUUAGAGGUCACUACAGGUCAUUAGAGGACACUACAGGUAAGUAGAGGACACUACAGGUCAUUAGAGGUCACUACAGGUCAUUAGAGGACACUACAGGUCAUUAGAGGACACUACAGGUAAGUAGCGGUCACUACAGGUAAGUAGAGGUCACUACAGGUAAGUAGAGGACACUACAGGUAAGUAGAGGUCACUACAGGUCAUUAGAGGUCACUACAGGUCAUUAGAGGUCACUACAGGUAAGUAGAGGUCACUACAGGUAACUAGAGGUCACAGUGCUUUCAGCUUCAGUCCAG